rnacentral:lncRNA from 1 species
CCCAAUCGGUGGGAAUACUCCCAACCGACCAAAAACUCCCCAGCGCCACCUCUUCUUUGUUUUUUUUUCUUUUUUCUUUCCCACUUCUCUCUUUUUUUUCUCUCUUUCCUUCCCUCUUCUUCUUCCUUCCUUCUCUGUUCUCACGUGAAUUUCCUUCCCUCAGCCCCGACACUUUCCUUCCCAUGGCAGCCGAUCCCCUCUCCCGGAUCUCUCUCC